UUUUUCUUUUUUUUUUGGUGAUUUCCUUCACAAAGUAGCUGUGGAAUGAAGAGAAAAUAUUGGAAGAUGGACCUCCAUACAAUACUUCAUGAGCAUGUCUUUGGAGCCAUCCACUCUGUCAAGUGAAAGACCAAAAAAACUUUGGAGAUUGAUAUUGUGGCCUUUUGUUAGCUCUUUGUAGGAUUAUGACUGCUAAAUUUUGAGUUCAAGCAGCAAGACUGAAUAGAAAUAGAGAUAAGUUUACAUCAACAAUUCCAGCUUGAGCCUGUUCUCAUCACGUUGCCAGCAUCCUUCAGCUAAAACUGACUAGAGGACAAAAGAAAUCUCACUUUGCAAUUGGGACGCAUUAGAAGAUGGAAUGGAAUUAGUGAGUUCAAGCUUUAAGAGUAGACAAAGCUAGUGAUAAAGCUCCAUGGAAACUCUCCUCUCUGCUCAACUCUUUCUCCUGCAAUCUCUUUGAUCUACCUCAGGUUGUUUUUGUCCAUAAAUUGAGGGAAGCAAGUAUGGUUGCUGAAUCUUUAGCUAAACAGGGUCAAUCUCGUAAGCCUGAUUUUGUGGCCUUGUUUUAGAAUUGUUUUGGCUUCAGACUUUUUUCUUGUUCUACUAUUUUUUCAGUUUGGUUGUUUCACUCCUCUUUUGCUUUGGUCUUAUGAUGUUCUCUGCUUUGGUGUUUUUGGGUGAGGUGAUUGCUGGUUUAGGUCGGGUUCUUUGGGGAAUGCCUGUUGGCAUGGGUUAGGUGGCAGCUCUCCUCACCUCCUGUAUCUUUCUUUUCUUCAAUAAAAUUUCUUGCUUACAUAUAUUGUUAGAUA